AGGACGAACGCUGGCGGCGUGCUUAACACAUGCAAGUCAAGGAGAAAAUUUCGGCUUGCCGAGAUGAUUAAACUGGCGAACGGGUGAGUAACGCGUAGGCAACCUGCCCUUGUGAAUGGGAUAACUUCGGGAAACCGGAGCUAAUACCGUAUAACAUCUUUUUAAUACCUGUUAGAGAGAUCAAAGAUGCUUUUGUAUCGCGCAAGGAUGGGCCUGCGUUCCAUUAGUUAGUUGGUAAGGUAACGGCUUACCAAGGCAGCGAUGGAUAGCUGAUCUGAGAGGGUGAUCAGCCACACUGGGACUGAGAUACGGCCCAGACUCCUACGGGAGGCAGCAGUGAGGAAUAUUGCGCAAUGGAGGAAACUCUGACGCAGCAACGCCGCGUGGGGGAUGAAGCACUAUGGUGUGUAAACCCCUGUAGAUAGGGACGAAUGAUAUGUGUUCGUAAGGGCAUGUAUGUGACGGUACCUAUAAAGUAAGCACCGGCUAACUCCGUGCCAGCAGCCGCGGUAAUACGGGGGGUGCAAGCGUUGUCCGGAAUUACUGGGCGUAAAGGGCGUGUAGGCGGCCUAUUAAGUCAGAUGUGAAAGCCCACGGCUUAACCGUGGAACUGCAUUUGAAACUGGUAGGCUUGAGUAUGAGAAGGGGUAGUGGAAUUCCCAGUGUAGCGGUGAAAUGCGUAGAUAUUGGGAAGAACACCAGUAGCGAAGGCGGCUACCUGGCUCAUUACUGACGCUAAUGCGCGAAAGCGCGGGGAGCAAACAGGAUUAGAUACCCUGGUAGUCCGCGCCGUAAACGAUGGAUACUAGAUGUUGGUUACUUUAUAGUGAUCAGUGUCGCAGCUAACGCAUUAAGUAUCCCGCCUGGGGAGUACGAUCGCAAGGUUG
rnacentral:rRNA from 1 species